UUUGCAACAAUCUCUCUUGCUAGUGCACGUAUCGCAAGAAAACUGAACUGUUUAUUUCCUAUUACAAACGAAUUUAUGAAAACUCUACGAGUUUUGCAAAAAAGCCGGAAUCCAAUCAAAUGUGAUGAACAAAACUCAGUUUUCACUCCUCAUCUGCAUAAGUAUUCUCGGAUGCAGUUAACUGAUAUACCAUGUUCUUUGAAAGAUGGUGCAGAAGCUGAAAUGUUUAUUGUUGGUGAGGACACUGCUGUUGGUUCUUUGUUAGGUACAUUGAAUAUCAACGGUAACCCUGCAACCGAUAUAUCUUUAUCAGUUCGUGAAAAGAAUCCACCUGUGAUAAUUGAGCCGAAUACAUCAAAAAUCAUUUUGAUGACUAGACUUGAUAAAGAAGGCAUAGAUGGACCAUCGUCGGUGCAUGUUAAUGUGAUCUGCGAUCGAAAAUAUACUGCUGUUCCGGUUGUUUUGAUUCCUGUCAAUAUUCGCGUAACUGAUGUCAACGAUAACUCACCCCAGUGGAUCGGAGCACCUUACGUAGCAAAUAUUUCAGAAGUAACAUCGGUUGGAACCAGGAUAUCACAGGAGAUACAAGUUAUGGAUCUUGAUCAGCCCGGUCCCAAUUCUACAAUAGAAUUUUAUGUUCUUCCUGGACUAUUUUCGAAUAUUGUUGGGUUUAUGUCACCCUUAAUUGGAAUACUAGUGUUGCAAAAUGAAGUAGACUAUGAAAAAAAUCAAAACAUUACGGUUCAGUUAAGAGCUCAAGAUCAAGGCGUACCUCCGAGAUAUUCAGAUACCAUCUUCACUAUACUUAUAUUUGACGCUGAUGAUCAAAAUCCUAAGUUCGAUGAAGAUAUUUAUUACGGCGUUAUUGAAACUAAAAAUAAUAAGUCUACUAUUAUUACUUAUCCUUCACCUAUAAAAGCUAGAGACCAAGAUUUUGGAUUAAACACAUCAAUAAUAUAUUCUAUAGUAUCACCAUCACUAGCAAAUUUUUUCGCCAUAGAUUCUGUAAGCGGUACAUUAAUGCUUACCAAUUACUUCAAUGUACCAAGAACCACAAAAUUACUCGUACGCGCAUCACAAUUAGAUAACACUGAUCGGCAUGCACUAGGAACAGUUAUUAUUUGCCAGUCUGUUUCGAACAAAACUGUAAAAAGCGGUUUUUUGAAAACGAUUUAUGAAAUAGACUUACCGGAAAAUUACAAGAAAGGAAACGACAUAAUUAAAUUGAUUACAAACAUUAACUCACUUGAAAAAAGUUUCAAGAUUUUGAAUGCAUCGGAAAAAAGUGUAUUCAACAUUGAUGGAAACGGAACGAUGAGAUUAAUAGGAAGUCUUGAUUAUGAGAUGCGGUCUUUGCAUAAAUUUACCGUCGAACUAACUGACGGUAUUACAAGCAAUUAUGCAGAAAUAACUAUCAACGUAAUAAAUGUAAACGACUGGGAGCCAAGAUUCAAGGAACCUAAAUAUAUGUUUCAUUUAAGAAACAAAGUGGAUGUUUCUUUUCCUAUUUUCGUAGGAAAAGUGGAUGCAGCAGACGGUGACCUAAAUGAUAAAAUUAAAUAUACUAUUGAAGGAGAACAUUCGGAUAUAUUUCAUGUAGAUGCGUCAGGCAAAAUAUGGAUGAAGGAAAAUAUAAUGAAAAAAAAAACAUUUCUUCUCCGUCUUACAGCCUCAGAUUCCGGUACACCGCCUAGAAAAACAACGGUUCCACUUGUGAUUGAAUUUCAAAACACGAUAUUGAAUCGUAUAAUGAUAACAACAAGUAAAAUUUCAACAAUAAUUAUAUCCAUGAUUUUGUUGUUGUCAACAUGUUGCAUAAUCGGGUAUCUUAGAUCGAAGUUAUUUAUUAAAAUAAAAAUUUUACAAUCAGCUACACAGCGACAGCGACAUUGCAACCGUUCCAAAGAUUGCUGCAUUGAAGAUACCAGUGCAUCCACCACAUCUUCAGAAAAUUCAGAUUCUACGCAAACACCAAAUUUAGAAAGAGCGCUAGUAGAACUCCAUAAUUAUGGAUUGCAAAACUGUGGAGUUAGUUCCUUACAUGUUGCAGCCCAAAAGACGAAAAAAACGGAAAACCGAUCAGGCAUGUACUUGUUUGAAAACCAAUUCAAUAAAAAGAAAAAUCGACUGGUAUCGACAAUGUCAACUCAAAAGUGAUGCAAAAUUGCUUUCAUUUUAUCGGUCACGAUCUGCUGGACUUGGUAAAUGAAUCGUUAUACACGUGGCACGUACCAAAAGUUUGGAAAGAAUCGCUGGUGGUUCCUAUCCCAACGGUUACUGGAACGAAUAAAACCGAGGAGUACCGUCCCAUUAACAUGUUGCACACGUUGGAAAAAAUUUUGAAACUUGUUGUUGAAGAUCAUCUGAUUAACUAUUUAAACUGUAACAAUAUGCUAAUACCGGGAUAUCGGGAUAUCGGAAAAGUCACUCUUGCGAAACCGCUUUAAUCCUGGUUUUAGCAAACUGGAAGGAGAAAAUCGAGAUUAAAGAGACUAUUUUUGCAGUGUUCUUGGACCUCAAACGCACUUUCGAAACAAUUUCUAGACCUAUACUGUUACAAAGACUGAAACGCUUUGGUAUCGAAGGAGUAGCAUAUAAAGGGGUUUAAAACUAUUUAUUUGAUAGAACCCAGAGAACUGUUUUCAACGAUGUUGUGUCUAGUUUCCAGGGUAAUUCACUUGGUGUGCCACAGAGUAGUGUUUCAGGACCGAUUUGGUUUAUUAUGUACAUAAAUGAGAUUAGGCGAAUUUUACGGUUUUGUGAAAUAAAUUUAUUUGCUAACGAUAUUCUUCUGUUCAUUACAGCUAAGGAUUUGGAUGAAGCGGUUGCACAUUUAAAAGAAGACCUUCAUUCUCAGGCUCAGUGGUUAAAAUUCAAACAAUAUAAACUGAAUGUCGCAAAAACUAAAUAUAUGAUAAAAUAUCUGCGUAUGAUAGCAAUGCUCCGGUAAGGCCAGAACAGCGCUGGUGGAAUACAUUCUCACAAACCAAACAUUUAAUUCUAAUAUCCGAUAUGGCACACCACCGGAGAACAAAUUAAAAAAACAAAAAACGGUACAAAAUCAAUACAAAAAUCAUUCAAUAAAUUACGGAACGACGGCGCUUUCUUUGGGCGCAAAAUUCAAGCACUAAUUCAGCACACCAUUUUUUACGAAUAUUAAAUUAUUACACACAAUUUUCGCAAUUUGAUUCGGCACUAAAGACGCACAAGUUAUCAUGUUCGCACAAGUGAUCACAAACGAAUUUCGGUCAAGGUCGUUCGAUCAUAAUAAACUGUAGUUGUAUGUAAGCUGAAAAUAUUGUUUAUAAGAGAUUGAAUUAUAUACCAAACACAUUUGAAUUAAAGUAAGAGUAGGACAAAUAGUCGUUGAAAAUCAAAGUUUAAAUUUCAAGGCGGCAGGCGUAUGUUGUAGCGAGAAAGGAUUACAGUACUUAAACAUACUUUGUUGAAUCACCCUACAACUCCGACAAACAAGAUGAUAUGUCGUGCUUCUUCUGGCACCCUAUAUUGAUGAUCUAUCUCAUCUCUUUGAUGCAUUGUUAUGGAUCGUAGGUCAGUCUAAAAUUUACAGUCCACGAGAAUACACGCGUUAUUAUUACACAAAUAAAAUUUUCGUUUCAGUUCGCGCAAAGUUAAAGUGUAGUACCAGAGAAAAAGCA